UUUAAUUUUAAAUUUUUCUAAAGUAGUAUUAUAUGAAACUUAAAAUUUUGACAGUAUUUAAUUUUCUAGAGGAAUAUGUAAUUUAAUCGUCAAUACCCGUUUAAUCUUACUUAUUCUUUUUUGUAUAUCUCCGUUGUCAGACUUUAUUUAAAAUAUAAAAAAUAUUCUUAAUAAUUUAAUUUAGUACUUCAGGUCAAGGUGCAGAAUGAAUAAGAUAUUAUGUAUUACAAUCAAAAUAAUGAAUUAAUGAAUAUUGAAAAAUUUUUGAAAUUGAAUUUAUAAGUAAAAAAAUAUAGAAAAUUUAUUUGAAAUAUUAUUAAAUAUGU
rnacentral:rRNA from 1 species